AUUCUGGUUGAUCCUGCCAGUAGUUAUAUGCUUGUCUCAAAGAUUAAGCCAUGCAUGUCUAAGUACACACGAAUUAAAAGUGAAACCGCAAAAGGCUCAUUAUAUCAGUUAUGGUUCCUUAGAUCGUUAACAGUUACUUGGAUAACUGUGGUAAUUCUAGAGCUAAUACAUGCAAUUAAAACAUGAACCUUAUGGGACAUGUGCUUUUAUUAGGCUAAAACCAAGCGAUCGCAAGAUCGUUAUAUUGGUUGAACUCUAGAUAACAUGCAGAUCGUAUGGUCUUGUACCGACGACAGAUCUUUCAAAUGUCUGCCCUAUCAACUUUUGAUGGUAGUAUCUAGGACUACCAUGGUUGCAACGGGUAACGGGGGAAUCAGGGGUUCGAUUCCGGAGAGGGAGCCUGAGAAACGGCUACCACAUCUAAGGAAGGCAGCAGGCGCGUAAAUUACCCACUCCCAGCUCGGGGAGGUAGUGACGAAAAAUAACAAUACAGGACUCAUAUCCGAGGCCCUGUAAUUGGAAUGAGUACACUUUAAAUCCUUUAACAAGGACCAAUUGGAGGGCAAGUCUGGUGCCAGCAGCCGCGGUAAUUCCAGCUCCAAUAGCGUAUAUUAAAGUUGUUGCGGUUAAAACGUUCGUAGUUGAACUUGUGCUUCAUACGGGUAGUACAACUUACAAUUGUGGUUAGUACUAUACCUUUAUGUAUGUAAGCGUAUUACCGGUGGAGUUCUUAUAUGUGAUUAAAUACUUGUAUUUUUUCAUAUGUUCCUCCUAUUUAAAAACCUGCACUAGUGCUCUUAAACGAGUGUUAUUGUGGGCCGGUACUAUUACUUUGAACAAAUUAGAGUGCUUAAAGCAGGCUUCAAAUGCCUGAAUAUUCUGUGCAUGGGAUAAUGAAAUAAGACCUCUGUUCUGCUUUCAUUGGUUUUCAGAUCAAGAGGUAAUGAUUAAUAGAAGCAGUUUGGGGGCAUUAGUAUUACGACGCGAGAGGUGAAAUUCUUGGACCGUCGUAAGACUAACUUAAGCGAAAGCAUUUGCCAAAGAUGUUUUCAUUAAUCAAGAACGAAAGUUAGAGGUUCGAAGGCGAUCAGAUACCGCCCUAGUUCUAACCAUAAACGAUGCCAGCUAGCAAUUGGGUGUAGCUACUUUUAUGGCUCUCUCAGUCGCUUCCCGGGAAACCAAAGCUUUUGGGCUCCGGGGGAAGUAUGGUUGCAAAGCUGAAACUUAAAGGAAUUGACGGAAGGGCACCACCAGGAGUGGAGCCUGCGGCUUAAUUGACUC
rnacentral:ncRNA from 1 species